UACGUAGGGGGCUAGCGUUGUCCGGAUUCAUUGGGCGUAAAGCGCGCGUAGGCGGCUUCGUAAGUCGGCCGUGAAAUCUCCAGGCUUAACCUGGAGGGGUCGGGCGAGACUGCGGGGCUCGAGGUGGGCAGAGGGCAGUGGAAUUCCGGGUGUAGUGGUGGAAUGCGUAGAGAUCCGGAGGAACACCAGUGGCGAAGGCGGCUGCCUGGGCCUGGCCUGACGCUGAGGCGCGAAAGCGUGGGGAGCGAUCCGG
rnacentral:rRNA from 1 species